rnacentral:tRNA from 1 species
GGGAAUAUAGUUUAAAUGGCAAAACUACGAUUUUGCAUAUCGUUAAUUUAGGUUCAAUUCCUAAUGUUUCCA